rnacentral:rRNA from 1 species
GAUGAACGCUGGCGGCGUGCUUAACACAUGCAAGUCGAACGAUGAGGCGCGAUCUUUCUGGGGUUGAUGAUUGGCGAGCGCGGGAGUGACACGUGAGGAACCUGCCCCCUUCUGCGUGGGAAGCCUGGGGGACUGGGGCUAAUACAGGGGAUUCUGUAAUGAUCCGCAUGGUGUAGUGGUGAAGGACGGUUUUGGUGUGAUGCGCUAACGGCUUAUCGGCGUGUUGGUGGGGUGGUGGCCUACCAAGGCGUCGACGGGUCGCUGGCCUGAGGGGGUGACCGGCAACACUGGGACUGAGAUACGGCCCAGACUCGUCAGGGAGGCAGAAGUGGGGAAUAUUGCACAAUGGGCGACAGAUUGAUGCAGCGACGCUGCGUGAGGGAUGACGGCUUUAGGGUUGUAAAACUAUUUAGAUGGGGAACAAGGCCAUACUUUUGUGUGGUUGAGGGUACCUGUAUAAGAAGCGCCGGCUAACUACGUG